rnacentral:sRNA from 1 species
AGAAGUGGAGAGUAUUAUUGAAGAACACUGAAAACAACCUCUUACGUAACAGGAUGGAGGGACAAGGGGGAGCCCAGGUCCCUGUGAAGUCACUGUGGUCUAUAGAUCCUUUCUUUUGUAGGUUUUGGUGCCUGGGACCAUAUCUGCAACAUGAGAUACAGAGCCUUUCGGCGAAUGCAGGUGCCCCUUUAUCUUUUCAAUUUUGUCAAGAUGUCUUGGUCUGUCUUGUGUUAAGAUAUCGGAGUCCACUUUCUCCAAGUGUUCUGUGAAUGUAGGAGGAAUCAGACAAGGUUCACAUUCAGUCCGAGGAAGUGGGGAGAAGCAUUCCCAGGAGAAUUUUCUUCUAAUUUUAUAUUUUCCUGCCAGAGAGGCUGACAAAUUGUGAUUUUCUGCUCUGUCACUUGGGAAAGCAAUAUUGUUUCUGAUUGGAGUGGUGUUUCCCUCUUGAUUUUAAUGCAAACUUUCCUUUUGUGUUUCCAGGUGUGGGACGCCUGCUCAGAGGCCCUGAUAAUGUUUGAUAAGGAUAAUUUAGAUGAUAUGGGCUAUAUCGUGGAGAAUGAUGUCAUCAUGCAUGCUCUCACUAAGCAGCUGGAGGCUGUGUCUGACCGAGUGACGGUUCUCUACAGGAGCAAAGCCAUUCGCUAUACCUGGCCUUGUCCAUUUCCUAUGGCCGACUCCAGCCCUUGGGUUCAUAUUACCCUAGGUGAUGGCAGCACCUUCCAGACCAAAUUGUUGAUAGGUGCAGAUGGUCACAACUCCGGAGUACGGCAGGCUGCUGGAAUCCAGAAUGUGAGCUGGAACUAUGACCAGUCUGCUGUUGUGGCUACUCUGCAUUUAUCAGAGGCCACAGAAAACAAUGUAGCCUGGCAGAGAUUUCUUCCCUCUGGGCCUAUUGCUCUGCUCCCGCUCUCAGACACCUUGAGUUCCUUGGUUUGGUCCACAUCCCAUGAACAUGCAGCAGAGCUAGUUAGCAUGGAUGAGGAAAAAUUUGUGGAUGCCGUUAAUUCUGCCUUUUGGAGUGAUGCUGCCCACACGGACUUCAUCAACACAGCUGGUGCCAUGCUGCAGUAUGCUGUCGGCCUUCUGCAGCCCACUAAGGUCUCGGCUCGCCAGCUGCCCCCAAGCGUAGCCCGGGUG